rnacentral:tRNA from 1 species
CGUUAAGUGGCUGAAACCCUCAAGCAUUGGUCUCUUAAACCAAAAUAUAGUAUCUAGUGAAUACUCUUAACGA